rnacentral:rRNA from 1 species
GUCCAGACUCCUACGGGAGGCAGCAGUGAGGAAUAUUGGUCAAUGGGCUUACGCCUGAACCAGCCAAGUCGCGUGAGGGAAGACUGCCCUAUGGGUUGUAAACCUCUUUUGUCAGGGAGCAAUUGGCGCUACGUGUAGCGUUAUCGAGAGUACCUGAAGAAAAAGCAUCGGCUAACUCCGUGCCAGCAGCCGCGGUAAUACGGAGGAUGCGAGCGUUAUCCGGAUUUAUUGGGUUUAAAGGGUGCGUAGGGCGCAAGCCAAGGACAGGGUAAAAGUGGGGGGCCCCACCCUCGCCCCGCCGUUGAAACUGGCGUUCUUGAGUGGGCGAGAAGUAUGCGGAAUGCGUGGUGUAGCGGUGAAAUGCAUAGAUAUCACGCAGAACUCCGAUUGCGAAGGCAGCAUACCGGCGCCCAACUGACGCUGAAGCACGAAAGCGUGGGUAUCGAACAGGAUUAGAUACCCCUGUA